ACUGCUCAGUAACACGUGGACAACCUGCCCUUUAGGUUGGGUAUAAACCCGGGAAACUGGGUAUAAUACCCGAUAGGUCUCGAUUGCUGGAAUGCAUCGAGAUUUAAAGCUCCGGCGCCUAAGGAUGGGUCUGCGGCCUAUCAGGUAGUAGUGGGUGUAGCGUACCUACUAGCCUACGACGGGUACGGGUUGUGAGAGCAAGAGCCCGGAGAUGGAUUCUGAGACACGAAUCCAGGCCCUACGGGGUGCAGCAGGCGCGAAAACUUUACAAUGCUGGCAACAGCGAUAAGGGAACCUCGAGUGCCAGGUUACAAAUCUGGCUGUCGAGAUGCCUAAAAAGCAUUUCAUAGCAAGGGCCGGGCAAGACCGGUGCCAGCCGCCGCGGUAACACCGGCGGCUCGAGUGGUAACCGUUAUUAUUGGGUCUAAAGGGUCUGUAGCCGGCCGGAUAAGUCUCUUGAGAAAUCUGGCAGCUUAACUGUCAGGCUUUCAGGAGAUACUGUCUGGCUCGAGGCCGGGAGAGGUGAGAGGUACUUCAGGGGUAGGGGUGAAAUCUUGUAAUCCUUGAAGGACCACCAGUGGCGAAGGCGUCUCACCAGAACGGACCUGACGGCAAGGGACGAAAGCUAGGGGCACGAACCGGAUUAGAUACCCGGGUAGUCCUAGCCGUAAACGAUACUCGCUAGGUGUCGGCCACGGUGCGACCGUUGUCGGUGCCGUAGGGAAGCCGUGAAGCGAGCCACCUGGGAAGUACGGCCGCAAGGGUGAAACUUAAAGGAAUUGGCGGGGGAGCAC
rnacentral:rRNA from 1 species